rnacentral:rRNA from 1 species
UACGUAGGGUGCGAGCGUUAAUCGGAAUUACUGGGCGUAAAGCGUGCGCAGGCGGUGAUGUAAGACAGAUGUGAAAUCCCCGGGCUCAACCUGGGAACUGCAUUUGUGACUGCAUCGCUGGAGUGCGGCAGAGGGGGAUGGAAUUCCACGUGUAGCGGUGAAAUGCGUAGAGAUGUGGAGGAACACCAGUGGCGAAGGCGGCUUUUUGGUCUGUAACUGACGCUGAGGCGCGAAAGCGUGGGGAGCAAACAGG